CGCUGAAGCCCCAGCUUGCUGGGGUGGAUGAGUGGCGAACGGGUGAGUAUUUCGUGAGUAACCUGCCCCUGACUUCGGGAUAAGCCCGGGAAACUGGGUCUAAUACCGGAUACGACCUGUCCUCGCAUGAGGGUGGGUGGAAAGUUUUUUCGGUUGGGGAUGGGCUCGCGGCCUAUCAGUUUGUUGGUGAGGUAAUGGCUCACCAAGACGACGACGGGUAGCCGGCCUGAGAGGGCGACCGGCCACACUGGGACUGAGACACGGCCCAGACUCCUACGGGAGGCAGCAGUGGGGAAUAUUGCACAAUGGGGGAAACCCUGAUGCAGCGACGCAGCGUGCGGGAUGACGGCCUUCGGGUUGUAAACCGCUUUCAGCAGGGAAGAAGCGAAAGUGACGGUACCUGCAAAAGAAGUACCGGCUAACUACGUGCCAGCAGCCGCGGUAAUACGUAGGGUACGAGCGUUGUCCGGAAUUAUUGGGCGUAAAGAGCUCGUAGGUGGUUGGUCACGUCUGCUGUGGAAACGCAACGCUUAACGUUGCGCGUGCAGUGGGUACGGGCUGACUAGAGUGCAGUAGGGGAGUCUGGAAUUCCUGGUGUAGCGGUGAAAUGCGCAGAUAUCAGGAGGAACACCGGUGGCGAAGGCGGGACUCUGGGCUGUAACUGACACUGAGGAGCGAAAGCAUGGGGAGCGAACAGGAUUAGAUACCCUGGUAGUCCAUGCCGUAAACGUUGGGCACUAGGUGUGGGGGACAUUCCACGUUCUCCGCGCCGUAGCUAACGCAUUAAGUGCCCCGCCUGGGGAGUACGGUCGCAAGGCUAAAACUCAAGGAAUUGACGGGGGCCCGCACAAGCGGCGGA
rnacentral:rRNA from 1 species